GAUGAACGCUAGCGGCAGGCCUAAUACAUGCAAGUCGAACGAGAUUAAGAGGCUUGCUUCUUAUGAAAGUGGCGCACGGGUGCGUAACGCGUAUGCAACCUACCUUAAUCAGGGGGAUAGCCCGAAGAAAUUCGGAUUAAGACCGCAUAAAAACACAGGAUAGCAUUAUCCAAUGUUCAAAUAUUUAUAGGAUUAAGAUGGGCAUGCGUGUCAUUAGCUAGUUGGCGGGGUAACGGCCCACCAAGGCGACGAUGACUAGGGGAUCUGAGAGGAUGACCCCCCGCACUGGUACUGAGACCCGGACCAGACUCCUACGGGAGGCAGCAGUAAGGAAUACUGGUCAAUGGAGGGAACUCUGACCCAGCCAUGCCGCGUGCAGGAAGACAGCCCUCUGGGUCGUAAACUGCUUUUAUUCGGGAAUAAACCUUUCUACGCGUAGGAAGCUGAAUGUACCGAAAGAAUAAGGAUCGGCUAACUCCGUG
rnacentral:rRNA from 1 species